rnacentral:rRNA from 1 species
ACUCCUACGGGAGGCAGCAGUGGGGAAUAUUGCACAAUGGGGAAACCCUGAUGCAGCCAUGCCGCGUGUGUGAAGAAGGCCUUCGGUUGUAAAGCACUUUCAGUAGGGAGGAAGGUAGUGUAGUUAACACCUGCACUAUUUGACGUUACCUACAGAAGAAGCACCGGCUAACUCCGUGCCAGCAGCCGCGGUAAUACGGAGGGGUGCGAGCGUUAAUCGGAAUUACUGGGCGUAAAGCGCAUGCAGGCGGCCUGUUAAGUCAGAUGUGAAAGCCCGGGGGCUUAACCUCGGAAUUGCAUUUGAAACUGGCAGGCUAGAGUCUUGUAGAGGGGGUAGAAUUUCAGGUGUAGCGGUGAAAUGCGUAGAGAUCUGAAGGAAUACCAGUGGCGAAGGCGGCCCCCUGGACAAAGACUGACGCUCAGAUGCGAAAGCUGGGGAGCAAACAGGAUUAGAUACCCUGGUAGCACAGAG